rnacentral:tmRNA from 1 species
GGGGCCGUAACGGUUUCGACAGGCUGGAGAAAGCUGCCCCGCGAUGCAGGUCGAGAGCGAGUCACCUCUCGUAAAUCCAGGCUCAAACAAAAAGUAACUGCGAACAACAUUGUUCCUUUUGCUCGUAAGGCAGUAGCUAUUGCCUAAAUAACCCUUACAAGGUACGAGCGUCUGUAGUCUGACUCCGUUAAGGGCUGCGGACAAAACCCCAACGGAUGCUUCCCUUUAACUGCCUCUGGUCGGUUGAGGGACUAAGACUUUACCAGAGCAUCCCGUUGUCCGGGAUAAGGGACAAUCCCCGCUCCGAGGGUUAAAGGAGCUAAACCUGUGAACGAACGGAAAGUAAAUACCCAGUUUGGACAGCAGUUCGACUCUGCUCGGCUCCAUAA